rnacentral:rRNA from 1 species
ACAAGCGGAGGAGCAUGUGGUUUAAUUCGAUGGUACGCGAGGAACCGUUACCUGGGCUCGAACGUAAGAUGACUGUAGGUGAAAAGCUUACAUCUCUUCGGAGCAUUUUACGAGGUGCUGCAUGGUUGUCGUCAGCUCGUGCCGUGAGGUGUCGGGUUAAGUCCCAUAACGAGCGCAACCCUACCUUUAGUUGCCAUCAGGUAAUGCUGGGGGCUCUAAAGGAACUGCCUACGCAAGUAGUGAGGAAGGCGGGGAUGACGUCAAAUCAGCACGGCCCUUACGUCCAGGGCUACACACGUGCUACAAUGGCCGAUACAGAGGGCAGCUACCUGGUGACAGGAUGCAAAUCUCCAAAGUCGGUCUCAGUUCGGAUCGGAGUCUGCAACCCGACUCCGUGAAGUUGGAUUCGCUAGUAAUCGCGCAUCAGCCAUGGCGCGGUGAAUACGUUCCCGGGCCUU